rnacentral:rRNA from 1 species
GUGCCAGCCGCCGCGGUAAUACGGAGGGUGCGAGCGUUGUCCGGAAUCACUGGGCGUAAAGGGCGCGUAGGCGGCCUGAUAAGUAGGGGGUGAAAUCCUGCGGCUUAACCGCAGGGCUGCCUUCUAAACUGUCAGGCUGGAGCACAGUAGAGGCAGGUGGAAUUCCCGGUGUAGCGGUGGAAUGCGUAGAGAUCGGGAAGAACAUCAGUGGCGAAGGCGGCCUGCUGGGCUGUUGCUGACGCUGAGGCGCGACAGCGUGGGGAGCAAACAGGAUUAGAUACCCUAGUAGUCC